AAUCGACGCUGGCGGCGUGCCUCAGACAUGCAAGUCGAACGACUAAGACUUCCUUCGGGAAGUGUAUAAAGUGGCGCACGGGUGAGUAACACGUAAGUAAUCUACCCUCGAGUGGGGAAUAACGUUCGGAAACGAACGCUAAUACCGCAUAAUGCAGCGGCAUCGCAAGAUGACAGUUGUUAAAGGAGUAAUUCGCUUGAGGAGGAGCUUGCGGCAGAUUAGCUAGUUGGUAAGGUAACGGCUUACCAAGGCUACGAUCUGUAUCCGGUCUAAGAGGACGGUCGGACACACUGACACUGAAUAACGGGUCAGACUCCUACGGGAGGCAGCAGUCGGGAAUUUUGGGCAAUGGGCGAAAGCCUGACCCAGCAACGCCGCGUGAAGGAUGAAGUAUUUCGGUAUGUAAACUUCGAAAGAAUGGGAAGAAUAAAUGACGGUACCAUUUAUAAGCUCCGGCUAACUACGUGCCAGCCGCCGCCGUAACAC
rnacentral:rRNA from 1 species